AUCGAUAGAGAAGAUCUUAUUCGCGACGUAUUUUUGCGGCUGAACAAAAAAUUAUCUAUGAUUAGAAAGGAUCCUGGGCGAUUGUGUUGGAGUCGCAAUCCCAGGCCGGACGAUGCACUCUCUCAGCACUUGGUCAAUGCAGCUCGGCAACGACCUUGCUGGCAGCGCAUCGUUCAGCCGCCUCAGGAGGCAGCGCUCCUGCUCCCGUAACUGCAGUCGCUACGAACGAACACCAGGCCCAGCGGUAGAAGGCUGCAUUGCCUGCGGUCCACUCCUGGGUCGGAGAUGGGAGGGCUGUGGCUGAUGCUGGUGGGCCUCGGGGUCUUGGGGCUGGAGAGACGUUGGCUCGACCCCCGACCCAUCCAUGGUGUGGGAGGACCGCCGGCUGGCGGUUCCGGCCAGAUGGCAGAUGGACGCUGGGAGCCUCAGACCACAAAGUAGCUCACAGCGGAGGUAUCUCCGUUUUUCUCUUGCCCUCAUUCUGGCCUCGAUCUGAAUCAUGCGUAACACACUGCUGAAGAAACUUGUUAUGGACGUCUGUGCAGCCAGUUGUUAGGAGAGUAAGAGAGAGAGAGCUUGAGGAGGCUGGGCGCCAGUUAAGGAUGAAGAUGUAUCUCCUUUCGUCUCAGCGAGAAGAGAUGUCUGAAAACUCAAUCACAACCAGACUGUUAAGAGUCACGAUUCACUUCAACUCGCUAAUUUCAUGUUUACCUUUCUUGUAUGAAUCGCAAAUAAUACCUAAAU